CCUACGAGCGGCUGCAGUGAGGAAUAUUGGUCAAUGGGCGCGAGCCUGAACCAGCCAAGUAGCGUGAAGGAUGACUGCCCUACGGGUUGUACACUUCUUUUAUAAAGGAAUAAAGUGAUGCACGUUUGCCUUUUUGUAUGUACUUUAUGAAUAAGGAUCGGCUAACUCCGUGCCAGCAGCCGCGUUAAUACGGAGGAUCCGAGCGUUAUCCUGAUUUAUUUGGUUUAAAGGGAGCGUAGAUGGGUUGUUAAGUCAGUUGUGAAAGUUUGCGGCUCAACCGUAAACCUGCAAUUGAUACUGGCAGUCUUGAGUACAGUUGAGGUAGGCGGAAUUCGUGGUGUAGCGGUGAAAUGCUUAGAUAUCACGAAGAACUCCGAUUGCGAAGGCAGCUUACUAAACUGCCACUGACAUUGAUGCUCGAAAGUGUGGGUAUCAAACAGGAUUAGAUACCCGAGUAGUC
rnacentral:rRNA from 1 species